UACGUAGGGUGCAAGCGUUAAUCGGAAUUACUGGGCGUAAAGCGUGCGCAGGCGGUGAUGUAAGACAGGUGUGAAAUCCCCGGGCUUAACCUGGGAACUGCAUUUGUGACUGCAUCGCUGGAGUGCGGCAGAGGGGGAUGGAAUUCCGCGUGUAGCAGUGAAAUGCGUAGAUAUGCGGAGGAACACCGAUGGCGAAGGCAACCUCCUGGGCCUGUUCUGACGCUGAGGCACGAAAGCGUGGGUAGCAAACAGG
rnacentral:rRNA from 1 species